rnacentral:rRNA from 1 species
CCAGACUCCUACGGGAGGCAGCAGUGGGGAAUAUUGGACAAUGGGGGGAACCCUGAUCCAGCGACGCCGCGUGAGUGAAGAAGUAUUUCGGUAUGUAAAGCUCUAUCAGCAGGGAAGAAGAAAUGACGGUACCUGAGUAAGAAGCCCCGGCUAACUACGUGCCAGCAGCCGCGGUAAUACGUAGGGGGCAAGCGUUAUCCGGAUUUACUGGGUGUAAAGGGAGCGUAGACGGCGAUGCAAGUCUGAAGUGAAAGCCCGGGGCUCAACCCCGGGACUGCUUUGGAAACUGUCGAGCUAGAGUGUCGGAGGGGUAAGCGGAAUUCCUAGUGUAGCGGUGAAAUGCGUAGAUAUUAGGAGGAACACCAGUGGCGAAGGCGGCUUACUGGACGAUGACUGACGCUGAGUCUCGAAAGCGUGGGGAGCAAACAGGAUUAGAUACCCGAGUA